rnacentral:rRNA from 1 species
GGAAUCUUCCACAAUGGGCGAAAGCCUGAUGGAGCAACGCCGCGUGUGUGAUGAAGGGUUUCGGCUCGUAAACACUGUUGUAAGAGAAGAAUGACAUUGAGAGUAACUGUUCAAUGUGUGACGGUAUCUUACCAGAAAGGAACGGCUAAAUACGUGCCAGCAG